AUUGCAUCUUGGCUACGAUCAUGUGAUCUGUUCUUGCCAGUUUAAUAUUUGAUAGUCUCCCCCGUCAGGAGGUGUUCACUGUAAAUGAAACAGAUUUUUGAGAACAGUGGCCUAGACUGGUGGGGUUCUCUCUACUGGGACGAGGCCUGGUCCAGGUGUUGCAGAACUUCUGGGAGUAGUCACACCCA